UUGGCGGUAUCUUAUCCGUAUAGAUGNACNUGAUCUAUUAUCGAUAAUCCACGUUUGAUCUUACUUUUACUAAUGUUUGUAUACCGUUGUUGUUAGAUUACCUUAUAUAGCUAGCCAGUUUUCUUAAUAGAAUUUGUUAGAGUGAUUNUGAGGCUAAUUCUGUGACUUCAAAUCAAGGUGCAGUAUAUGUAUAAGAUGAGUUGAGUUACUAUGUGUUAGAAAUAGAUUGUAAAAUGAAAUUUUAUUUGAAAGAGGAUUUAUUAAUAAGUUUAUAUUAAUUAGAUUAGCUGAAAGGGGGUCUGAGAUAUGUACAAGUCGCCCGUCACUCUG
rnacentral:rRNA from 1 species